GAAAGUCCAUGGAAGAACUGCACACUGGAAUCACUGUAGACAAUUGAAGCACUGACCUCUUUCCACCCCAGGAACAAGAUAUUUAUACCAGCUGGGAAACAGGGAUUGGCUGGCUGAUUAACCAGAGACCAGAGUGCAGCUGCUGGGUAAUCAGGCUGAGAGCAGAGUGCAGCUGAUAGGCUGAAAGGUAACAUGUGAUUAGGAAAACAUGGCUGCGCCCAUGUUAGCUUUUGGAGGGAAAGAUUGUUUGUAACUUGCAUGUGAAACUUAACCCUGAUGCUGCCAGAAUCACAGUAAAGAGAUUAGAGACAGAGAUGCAGCGUGCUGCACACAGACAGUGCAGAUGGAAUCCAGGCUUGGAACACUGGGACAGUCUCAGGAGGCAAUUGGAAGUGCUCCAGCCCUGUCUCACAACCCCUCCAUCCGCUCUCCAAUGUGAAAUGGCACCUGAUCACAAAUUAAGGACUUUUAUGCAAUCCAAAUCACGCAAGUGCCGUCUCCAGGAAAAUGAUGCGUUAACUCAUUCUGGGAUCCGAGUUUGGCGACCAGAGAUUUCUGCGGACCCCCAUGUUUGGGUUUUGCUUCUAAUUCAUCAUUGUGUUUUGGUAUUGUCAAAACCACCCU